ensembl:misc_RNA Metazoa_SRP Metazoan signal recognition particle RNA
GCUGGGUGUGGUGGCUCACACCUGUAAUCCCAGCACUUUGGGAAGCUGAGGUGGGUGGAUUGCUUGAGCCCAGGAGUUCAAAAGCAGCCUGGGCAACAUGGCAAGACCCUGUCUCUA